rnacentral:sRNA from 1 species
GCCAGGUACAGUGGUGCAUGCCUGUAAUCCCAGUGGCUUGGGAGGCUGAGGCAGGAAGAUCAAAAGUUCCAGCCUCAG